rnacentral:rRNA from 1 species
UGCUCGGAAUUACUGGGCGUAAAGCGCGUGUAGGCGGUUCCGCAAGUCAGGUGUGAAAGCCCAGGGCUCAACCCUGGAAGUGCACUUGAUACUACGGAGCUUGAGUACUGAAGAGGAGAGCGGAAUUCCCGGUGUAGAGGUGAAAUUCGUAGAUAUCGGGAGGAACACCAGUGGCGAAGGCGGCUCUCUGGGCAGAUACUGACGCUGAGACGCGAAAGCAUGGGGAGCAAACAGGG